GACGAACGCUGGCGGCGUGCUUAACACAUGCAAGUCGAACGAAGUGGCGAACGGGUGAGUAACGCGUAAUCAACCUGCCCUUCAGAGGGGGACAACAGUUGGAAACGACUGCUAAUACCACAUACUGAAGCUGGUGAUUGCGUCUGAUUAGCUAGUUGGCGGGGUAACGGCCCACCAAGGCGAUGAUCAGUAGGCGGUCUUGGAGGAUGGACGGCCACAUUGGGACUGGGACACGGCCCAGACUCCUACGGGAGGCAGCAGUGGGGAAUCAUCCGCAAUUGGCGAAAGGCGGACGGAGCAAAGCCGGGUGAGUGAUGACAGCCUUCGGGUUGGAAAGCUCUGUUAAUCGGGGCGCGGUACCGGAAGAGAAAGCCACGGCUAACUACGUGCCAGCAGCCGCGGUAAUAC
rnacentral:rRNA from 1 species